rnacentral:lncRNA from 1 species
AUGCUUGGUCAAGGGAUGCGGCAUGCAGCAUUUGAUUCUUCUGCGAGAUAUUAUGGUUGGUUGCAAGAGCAAAGGACUGCCACAACAAGGGCUAAAGAAGAACUCGCAGCAAGUGCUUCUAGGGUUGCUGAGCUGACAAGCACAUUAGAGGCCUUGGUAAGUAAUUAUUAAUUACUAUUACAGUUAAACCCUAAAAUUUAUUAAUUUUAGUUAUUAAAUUUUAAUUGUAUUUAUAUUUGAUUAUAGGAGUUGCAAAGGCACACUAGACGCGGUGGACGGGGACGAGGUGGACGGGGCCGAAGUGGACGAGGCCGAAGUGGGGAGAGUAGUCAGGGGAGUGCACCUUGAGUGUUUUGAGUGCUUGAUAUUGCUUGAUAUUAGGGUUGGUUUGAGUGUUUGUUAACUGUAUACUAUUGCUUGAUGUUAGGGUUGUUUCUGUUGAACUACCAUAGAAGAUAAAUUUAUGGUUAUUUCUUAAUGAUUUAUUUAU